rnacentral:rRNA from 1 species
UACGUAGGGUGCAAGCGUUAAUCGGAGUUACUGGGCGUAAAGCGUGCGCAGGCGGUUUUGUAAGUUUGUCGUGAAAGCCCCGGGCUCAACCUGGGAAUUGCGAUGAAGACUGCAAGGCUUGAAUCUGGCAGAGGGGGGUAGAAUUCCACGUGUAGCAGUGAAAUGCGUAGAGAUGUGGAGGAACACCGAUGGCGAAGGCAGCCCCCUGGGUCAAGAUUGACGCUCAUGCACGAAAGCGUGGGGAGCAAACAGGA